rnacentral:sRNA from 1 species
UUCCAAAUUCCCGGGAAGUGCCUGUG